AACUGGAAAUCUGGAUUAUGCAACCAAGACUUUGCCUAUAAUGCCACAUUUGAGAAUGAUGCUCAUUUAAUCACAUAUGACCAGAGGCUUCCAGCAACCAAGUUUGACUUGGUGGGGCCAACGCUUAGAAAGUCUCUCUUGGGCAGACUGGCCUGGUGACUGGCCUCCUAGGGUUCCCAGCCUCACAGGUGAGGGAGGAAGGGUCACUUCCUGGCAAGCUCAGGAAUCUUAGGCUGUUUUGGGGACCUCAGGAAGAGAGGAAUUGCCACCAACUCACUGGGUACUGCAGGUGACAAGUCAUGGUGAAUUCUUGGCUUGGCUUCCUAUCCUCACGAGGCUUUGAGGUGUCCAAUCUGAGAUUCUUUAUGAAAACUUCCAGCAAAGCAAAUGUGAGAGCUAUGUGGUAAAUUGUCAUUCUUGGUGCAUCUAUGCAAAUGGCCGGGCCACAUCUAAUGAGACCAGCCUUGGUUUGUGACCCAGAGUAAGCUUUCUUUGAGAUUGUCUUUGACCAAAUGGGGUAGAAAGAACUUAGAGUGCAAUAUUGUGGAGACCUGUUAGAGAGAAGUUUUGUGUUCCAAUGGGAAACUAUAACACACUCUUCUGGAUGACCAGAUUCUGAUUCUAUUCAUUGUCUUUGAGCUAUUUUGCUUCUGUUUGUAAAUUGCAACUGAGACACAUGCAAACUUUGUAUUAUCUGGUAAGCAAGCUUUCUCAUUCACUGUGAAAACAUGUUUUUGGUAUUGAACUGAAUUAUCUCACCUUGCAGAGAUUGUCAACCCUUACCAGAAUUUCAGUCCUUCCAGAUUCCUUCAUUAUCUGGCUACAACCUAACCUGAGCCUUCAAACUGAGCUUCCAAUUUUCUCCUUUCUUUGUGACGUGGAGUCACUGAAAACUAAAACUUCCAGAUCCUUGUUGAGACCCUGAGAUUGCCUUGUAGCUGCUCCUUGCUCCCAGGAUCUGAAGAGCCAUCGUACACUCAGGCCUGAGGGCUUAUUGUAAGCCUAGAAGAAGGACUCAUCAUUUUAGUGGACCAUUUGUGGUACAGAUCUCUCCUUGGAUAAGCUACUGUUUAAACUACUACAAGAAGUCUGGUGAAAUUCUUAGGUCACUCAUGCCCUGAUUGGAGAAGUAACCAAUGCUUUGGACAACAUCAUCAGUGCAGCUGACAAUUUUCUAGAAGCUUCCACCAAAAUACAGUUUGCACUGACCAUCGCCAUGGACUCCAGUUUUCAUGCAGGUGUGGGAGCCCUUGUGCCUUGCUGCUUGUUUCUUGUCGAGUCCACAACAACGUGAUCUCCAAGUGUCUUUAUUGAGUACUAAUUUUUUGUGACCAAAAUGCCUGGUUCUGUUUUCUUCAGACUUUGCCAAAUGAAUCCUGUUUCAUAUGCCCAGACUUCAAAAUUCUAAAACAACCGACUUGUGCUAUAUAACCUUUCAACAGAUGGUCGAACUUAUUUUACAGAAACAACACCAACAAGAGUCCCAGAAAGACUAUUAAUGAGACCCUUCAUCUCACUCAGGAGUUUUAUACUUGUCUCUUAGUUGUUUAGGAACCUAUUAUAUUCACUAAUAUUGAACAAAAGGAAGGAAUGACUAUGUUGGACUUUACCUAAGCUCUGUGUUCCUGGAAAACAGUGAUGCUUAAGAAAUACUUCAUGUUUAGGGC